AUAUGUAAAAAAAAAAAAUAGAUUAACAGUAGUCAUGCACCUCAAGAGCCUAAACUAUGUAUAAUUAAUACAGAAGAUAAACAAAUAGUAACAUUUGUGCCCACGAUCAAGACUUGGAGAAAUUGAUGAAGUUAAUGAGAGCAUUUGCUGCUUCCCUCAGAAACAAUAACAUGAAGCUUUUGGCCAAACUCGCAAUGCUUGCCAACAGAAGAGAAGUAAAAAUAGUCCCCAGGCUUCUCCAAAGUAGAAGAGGAGUUUCCUCUAGAUGAUAUUUCUGGUAGUGCAAUGAUCGUAGUCGUUCUUGUCUACUUGAACCACCGUGUUCAAUCCUGGGUGGUACUGGAAAACUGC
rnacentral:lncRNA from 1 species